UACGAACCGUCCAAACGUUAUUCGGAUUUAUUGGGCUUAAAGGGUAUGUAGGCGGCCCUUCAAGUCGGGUGUGAAAGCCCUCGGCUCAACCGAGGAACUGCGCCCGAUGACUGUGGGGCUUGAGGGAGACAGAGGUAAGCGGAACUGAUGGUGGAGCGGUGAAAUGCGUUGAUAUCCACAGGAACUCCGGUGGCGAAGGCGGCACGCUGGACCCUCUCUGACGCUGAGGCGCGAAAGCCAGGGGAGCGAACGGG
rnacentral:rRNA from 1 species